CCCCUACGGGGCGCAGCAGUAGGGAAUCUUCCACAAUGGGCGAAAGCCUGAUGGAGCAACGCCGCGUGGGUGAAGAAGGUCUUCGGAUCGUAAAACCCUGUUGUUAGAGAAGAAAGUGCGUGAGAGUAACUGUUCACGUUUCGACGGUAUCUAACCAGAAAGCCACGGCUAACUACGUGCCAGCAGCCGCGGUAAUACGUAGGGGGCAAGCGUUAUCCGGAUUUACUGGGUGUAAAGGGAGCGUAGACGGCGCGGCACGUCUGAAGUGCAAGGCAGGGGCUUAACCCCUGAACUGCUUUGG
rnacentral:rRNA from 1 species